rnacentral:lncRNA from 1 species
CGCCUGGCACAUACACUUUAACGCUUACAAUUUCUGAAAAACCAUCCCAAAUACCCGGAAUCCCAAGGGCAACUCAAGCUAAAAGAGUGGUAUAAUACGCUCUACACCAGAGAAUCUAAAGCCACAUAAUAGAAGGAAAAAGGGACUAUCUGCUACAGCUGGAAUGAAAUAGAGACUUCAGGUCUGCAGAUGUAACAGGUAUACCUCGAAUCUCCACUAGUGCUCUCUACUGCGAGGGUAAUACUCCUGAGAAGAAGUACAUGGGUCUGUACAUGGAAAACAUGAGCAGAAGAGGCGUGAGUACACCACAACAGUACUAAGUAAGUGUCAAGCCUAACCUCGAUCAGGUAGUGACGAGGAAGGUUGAGGCCCUACUGAGCUAAAACCAUAAUAAUCAGUAUGAUAAGGAAAGACAAAAUGGAUAUAAUCUACUGUGAGAAUCUAGUAAAUAAUAAAUAAGACAAUAACCGAGAAUUAACACAUUAAAUAAAUAGAAGUGCAAAUCACCACUGGAUAUUUAUCAUCGGGGAUCUCCUGGUGUCCCGAGGAUCUCCUGAUAUAUCCUCACCAUACAACCUAGGGAUCUCCUAGUAUCCCGAGGAUCUCCUAGUAUCCUCCAUUAUACACAAGGGAUAUCUUAGUAUCCCGAGGAACUCCUAGUAUCCUCCAUUAUACACAAGGGAUAUCUUAGUAUCCCGAGGAUCUCCUGGUAUCCUCCAUUUUUAUAAUCAUAUCUGUGCCGUGGAUCUCUUGGUAUCCCUCACUCUCAGUCAUAGAACGAAGCACAUAAAACAGAGUUAUCAAGAUGUCGUCCCCUAGUCCCAAAUCGUAACACCACACAAUUCAAAUAAGGUAAAAUGCUAAGUAAGAACAAUUAAUAGAAUUUCUAGUCUAGCAUGCUUCACGGAGGACAGAUAAUACAGUUUAAGCAAUUAAGCAAGUAAGUCACGUAAACAUCCUUAUCCUAAGCUAACACAUGUUAAAUUGUAUUUGAAAUAGGCAAAUUCGCAGGAAAACACGGUUAAAUAUUCUAAGUAAAAUAAAUUUUAAACAACUAGCACAAGUACACACUCGUCACCUCGCGUACCAGACAUUUAAAAUAACAAGUAAUGAAUCCUAAUGGGAGAAGUUCCCCACACAAAGUUGGACGAGCCACUUACCUCAAACCGGUGCAAAAUUAACUAAGGAACGAUGCUUUUGCCACAAGUAUCCGAUAAUUUCUAGCUAGCAUGUUUCACGGAGGACAGAUAAUACAAUUUAAGCAAUUAAGCAUUUAAGUCAGCUAAACAUGCUUAUCCUAAGCUAACACAGGAUAAAUUGCAUUUAAAAUAGGCAAAUCACAAGGAAACAGAGUUAAAUAUUCUAAGUAAAACGGAUUUUCAACAACUAGAACAAGUACAUGAUCGUCGCCUCGCAUACCGGCCAUUUAAAAUAACAAAUAACAUAUUCUAAGGGGAGAGGUCCCCACACAAAGUUAGACAAGCCACUUAUCUCGAACCGGUGCAAAAUCAACUAAGGAACGAUGCCUUUGCCACGAGUAUCCGACUUCGAAUGGCCCAAAUCUAUUCAAU